CUGGCUGCUGCCUGUUUUUAUAAAUAAAGUUUUGUUUACAAAACUUUAUUUAUAAAAACAGGCAGCAGCCAG
rnacentral:miRNA from 1 species